UAGAAUUUGGUGUAUCAGGUAGCAUGAAGAAUUUUGAGUUCUUAGGUGUAGGUUCAAGUCCUAUAGUUCUAG
rfam:Oryctolagus cuniculus unplaced genomic scaffold chrTn0360, whole genome shotgun sequence.